rnacentral:tRNA from 1 species
ACCGACCCCAUCGUCUCCACCCCGUAGGAACUACGAGAGAAAAGAAAGCAAAAGCGAUUCCCGUAGUAGCGGC